GCUGGGAUAGCUCUGUCAGUAGAACAUGAGACUCUCAAUCUUAGGGUCAUGGGUUUGACCCCCACAUUGGGCA